GAUGAACGCUGGCGGCGUGCCUAAUACAUGCAAGUAGAACGCUGAAGGAGGAGCUUGCUCUUCUGGAUGAGUUGCGAACGGGUGAGUAACGCGUAGGUAACCUGCCUGGUAGCGGGGGAUAACUAUUGGAAACGAUAGCUAAUACCGCAUGACAACAGUUAUUGCAUGAUAACUGUUUAAAAGGGGCAACUGCUCCACUACCAGAUGGACCUGCGUUGUAUUAGCUAGUUGGUGAGGUAACGGCUCACCAAGGCGACGAUACAUAGCCGACCUGAGAGGGUGAUCGGCCACCCUGGGACUGAAACACGGCCCAGACUCCUACGGGAGGCAGCAGUAGGGAAUCUUCGGCAAUGGACGGAAGUCUGACCGAGCAACGCCGCGUGAGUGAAGAAGGUUUUCGGAUCGUAAAGCUCUGUUGUAAGAGAAGAACGAGUGUGAGAGUGGAAAGUUCACACUGUGACGGUAUCUUACCAGAAAGGGACGGCUAACUACGUG
rnacentral:rRNA from 1 species